GACGAACGCUGGCGGCGUGCUUAACACAUGCAAGUCGAACGCUGAAGCUUGGUUCUUGCGCUGGGUGGAUGAGUGGCGAACGGGUGAGUAAUACGUGAGUAACCUGCCCUUGACUCUGGGAUACGCCUGGGAAACUGGGUCUAAUACUGGAUACGACAUGCCACUUCGUGGUGGUGUGUGGAAAGGGUUUUACUGGUUUUGGAUGUGCUCACGGCCUAUCAGCUUGUUGGUGGGGUAAUGGCCUACCAAGGCGACGACGGGUAGCCGGCCUGAGAGGGUGACCGGCCACACUGGGACUGAGACACGGCCCAGACUCCUACGGGAGGCAGCAGUGGGGAAUAUUGCACAAUGGGCGGAAGCCUGAUGCAGCGACGCCGCGUGAGGGAUGACGGCCUUCGGGUUGUAAACCUCUUUCAGCACGGAAGAAGCGAGAGUGACGGUACGUGCAGAAGAAGCGCCGGCUAACUACGUG
rnacentral:rRNA from 1 species